rnacentral:rRNA from 1 species
AACGCGAAGAACCUUACCAAGUCUUGACAUAUUACGGAAGCAGUUAGAGAUAAUUGCUUACAUCUUCGGAUGACUGUAAUACAGGUGGUGCAUGGUUGUCGUCAGCUCGUGUCGUGAGAUGUUGGGUUAAGUCCCAUAACGAGCGCAACCCCUAUUGCUAGGUACCAUCAUUAAGUUGGGGACUCUAGUAAUACUGCCGGUGACAAACCGGAGGAAGGUGGGGAUGACGUCAAAUCAUCAUGCCCUUUAUGACUUGGGCUACACACGUGCUACAAUGGCAGGUACACAGGGUUGCAAGACUGCGAAGUUAAGCGAACUCAAAAAGCCUGUCCCAGUUCGGAUUGCACUCUGCAACUCGAGUGCAUGAAGUGGAGUGCUAGUAAUCGUGA